GAGUUUGAUCGUGGCUCAGAUUGAACGCUGGCGGCAGGCUUAACACAUGCAAGUCGAGCGGGGGAGGUUGCUUCGGUAACUGACCUAGCGGCGGACGGGUGAGUAAUACUUAGGAAUCUGGCCUAUUAAUGGGGGACAACAUCUCGAAAGGGAUGCUAAUACCGCAUACGCCCUACGGGGGAAGCAGGGGAUCACUUGUGACCUUGCGUUAAUAGAUGAGCCUAAGUCGGAUUAGCUAGUUGGUGGGUAAAGGCCUA
rnacentral:rRNA from 1 species